CCUACGGGAGGCAGCAGUGAGGAAUAUUGGUCAAUGGGCGCGAGCCUGAACCAGCCAAGUCGCGUGAGGGAAGACGGUCCUAUGGAUUGUAAACCUCUUUUGUCGGGGAGCAAAAGACUCCACGCGUGGCGUUCCGAGAGUAACCGAAGAAACAGCAACCGCGAACUCCGUGUCAGCAGCCGCGGUAAUACGGAGGAUGCGAGCGUUAUUCGGAUUUAUUGGGGUUAAAGGGUGAGCAGGCGGCCUGUUAAGUCAGCGGUAAAAGCCCGGGGCUCAACCCCGGCGAGCCGUUGAAACUGGUGGGCUGGAGUUGGAGAGAAGUAGGCGGAAUGCGCGGUGUAGCGGUGAAAUGCUUAGAUAUCGCGCAGAACCCCGAUUGCGAAGGCAGCGUACCGGCUCCCCACUGACGCUGAAGCACGAAAGCGUGGGUAUCGAACAGGAUUAGAUACCCCGGUAGUC
rnacentral:rRNA from 1 species